ensembl:processed_transcript 4932441J04Rik RIKEN cDNA 4932441J04 gene
CAGCACAGUCUCUCAGCUUCUUCCAGUCUCAAUGCGGGGAACUCGAGCUGAACUUGAUCCCUUUGCAGUUCAAAGGUAAGUCUCAUGGAAGAAGUGGAAAAGUCGGCAGUAUUAGGACCUGGAUAAGAUGCUCAGGGAGAACUUCCUCACUAUUUGAGGCACCAGAGAUGUACAGGGAUAACACAAAUGUUCUUCAUGAAUAAAUAUCCAUCCAGGAACAAGUGUCCAGAUUCUUGAGAAAAUAGUGCAUAGGACUUGAAUAAAUGUAGAAAUGUAUGAAGACUUCCAUAUAAGUCCAGAAGCUGGGAAUACAACUUCCUUGAAGAAAUUAAGACCAAAUUGGAUGCCCGGAAGUGUAAAUUGAACCAACAAGAAGGACACUCUCCAAACAGGUCACCAUAAUUAUCAAUGACAGAUAAUGGAAGCCAGAAGUGACACACAAGUUUCCAUUCCUGUUGGCCAUUUCUCCAUGACAUUUACAAAAUUGUUCCAUUGUAUAGUAAAGCAUUCCUUUCUGCCAUGUUUUCUUCAUGAGAUAUGAUAACUGACAAUGAUUAAUAACAUGUACCUUAAAUUUCACAUAAGUAGGAUUGUCCCUGUUACAAAGUUCUCCCUUCAUAUGAAUAUGGAUAGACUUUCCUAACAUACCCCAUCCUUUCUAUGAGGUCAAUAUAUCACUUGGUAAAGUUCUCUUUUCCUACACGAGGUAAUAAAAAUCCAUUUUCACAC